rnacentral:rRNA from 1 species
AGAACGAACGCUGGCGGCAUGCCUAACACAUGCAAGUCGAACGAGACCUUUCGGGGUCUAGUGGCGCACGGGUGCGUAACGCGUGGGAAUCUGCCCCUUGGUUCGGAAUAACAGUUAGAAAUGACUGCUAAUACCGGAUGACGACGUAAGUCCAAAGAUUUAUCGCCGAGGGAUGAGCCCGCGUAGGAUUAGCUAGUUGGUGAGGUAAUGGCUCACCAAGGCGACGAUCCUUAGCUGGUCUGAGAGGAUGAUCAGCCACACUGGGACUGAGACACGGCCCAGACUCCUACGGGAGGCAGCAGUGGGGAAUAUUGGACAAUGGGCGAAAGCCUGAUCCAGCAAUGCCGCGUGAGUGAUGAAGGCCUUAGGGUUGUAAAGCUCUUUUACCAGGGAUGAUAAUGACAGUACCUGGAGAAUAAGCUCCGGCUAACUCCGCGCCAGCAGCCGC